rnacentral:rRNA from 1 species
UAACCUGGUAAGGCCCGUGGAAGACCACCACGUUGAUAGGCCGGAAGUGUAAGCACAGUAAUGUGUUCAGCUGACCGGUACUAAUCGGCCGAGGGCUUCGAUU